rnacentral:rRNA from 1 species
ACAAAUUAGAGUGCUUAAAGCAGGCAAGCCCGCCUGAAUAUUGUGUGCAUGGAAUAAUGGAAUAGGACCUCGGUUCUAUUUUGUUGGUUUUCGGAACCCGAGGUAAUGAUUAAUAGGGACUGGCGGGGGCAUUCGUAUUGCGACGUUAGGGGUGAAAUUCUUGGAUCGUCGCAAGACGAACAGAAGCGAAAGCAUUUGCCAAGUAUGUUUUCAUUAAUCAAGAACGAAAGUUAGAGGUUCGAAGGCGAUCAGAUACCGCCCUAGUUCUAACCAUAAACGAUGCCAGCCAGCGAUCCGUCGAGUUCCUCCGAUGACUCGGCGGGCAGCCACCGGGAAGCCAAAGCUUUUGGGUUCCGGGGGAAGUAUGGUUGCAAAGCUGAAACUUAAAGGAAUUGACGGAAGGGUACCACAAGGAGUGGAGUCUGCGGCUUAAUUUGACUCAACACGGGAAAACUCACCAGGCCCGGACACCCGAAGGAUUGACAGAUUGAUAGCUCUUUCUUGAUUGGGUGCGUGGUGGUGCAUGGCCGUUCUUAGUUCGUGGAGCGAU